CACACAGAUCUGUGAAAACUAUUAAAAAAGCUGCAUUAUGCUGCCAGGCCAGUAGUUGGCGCUGUCACUUUGCUUGGUAUUUACAGACUGAAUUAGGGGCCCGAUCUUUGUACGUGGACUACUUAGCAGGAUUUCAUCGUUGACGAUUUGACCUGAUCCAGGAUUGUUCGGUUCUUAGAAGCUCGUUCCAGAGUUGCUGUCAUAGCAACAGUGAUGUUCCUGAUUGCCAUCAUUUUGUUCAUUUUCUGCUACUGCCUCGAAGAAAGUCUCAUCAGAAAUCAUCCGCAUGUGAUGUCAACAACUACAGUCACGACUACACAAUACCAUCCACAGGGG